rnacentral:rRNA from 1 species
GGACUUCGGUCUGGCGGCGAGUGGCGAACGGGUGAGUAAUGCAUCGGAACGUACCUUUCAGUGGGGGAUAACGUAGCGAAAGUUACGCUAAUACCGCAUAUUCUGUGAGCAGGAAAGCAGGGGAUCGCAAGACCUUGCGCUGAUGGAGCGGCCGAUGUCAGAUUAGCCAGUUGGUGGGGUAAAGGCUCACCAAGGCGACGAUCUGUAGCGGGUCUUAGAGGAUGAUCCGCCACACUGGAACUGAGACACGGUCCAGACUCCUACGGGAGGCAGCAGUGGGGAAUUUUGGACAAUGGGCGCAAGCCUGAUCCAGCCAUGCCGCGUGAGUGAAGAAGGCCUUCGGGUUGUAAAGCUCUUUCGGCCGGGAAAAAAUCGCUUGGGUUAAUACCCUGAGUGGAUGAUGGUACCGGAAUAAGAAGCACCGGCUAACUACGUGCCAGCAGCCGCGGUAAUACGUAGAGUGCGAGCGUUAAUCGGAAUUACUGGGCGUAGAGCGUGCGCAGGCGGUUUUGUAAGACAGGCGUGAAAUCCCCGGGCUCAACCUGGGAACUGCGUUUGUGACUGCAAGGCUAGAGUAUGGCAGAGGGGGGUGGAAUUCCACGUGUAGCAGUGAAAUGCGUAGAGAUGUGGAGGAACACCAAUGGCGAAGGCAGCCCCCUGGGCCAAUACUGACGCUCAUGCACGAAAGCGUGGGGAGCAAACAGGAUUAGAUACCCUGGUAGUCCACGCCCUAAACGAUGUCAACUAGGUGUUGGGUGGGUAAAACCAUUUGGUACCGUAGCUAACGCGUGAAGUUGACCGCCUGGGGAGUACGGCCGCAAGGUUAAAACUCAAAGGAAUUGACGGGGACCCGCACAAGCGGUGGAUGAUGUGGAUUAAUUCGAUGCAACGCGAAAAACCUUACCUACCCUUGACAUGCCAGGAACUUGCCAGAGAUGGCUUGGUGCCCGAAAGGGAGCCUGGACACAGGUGCUGCAUGGCUGUCGUCAGCUCGUGUCGUGAGAUGUUGGGUUAAGUCCCGCAACGAGCGCAACCCUUGUCGUUAAUUGCCAUCAUUUAGUUGGGCACUUUAACGAGACUGCCGGUGACAAACCGGAGGAAGGUGGGGAUGACGUCAAGUCCUCAUGGCCCUUAUGGGUAGGGCUUCACACGUCAUACAAUGGUCGGUACAAAGGGUUGCCAUGCCGCGAGGCGGAGCCAAUCCCAGAAAGCCGAUCGUAGUCCGGAUCGCAGGCUGCAACUCGCCUGCGUGAAGUCGGAAUCGCUAGUAAUCGUGGAUCAGCAUGUCACGGUGAAUACGUUCCCGGGUCUUGUACACACCGCCCGG